ACGAGAUUCCGAAGGAAUCCCGAGGGUCCAACGGGGACUUAAACUUUGGUGUUAUUAUUGCGUUGCAGCUGCUGUGUUUUUUUUAGCUGCAACAGCAGUUUCUUUUCUCUUUUUUUAAAGCCAAAACCAGUAGCCAUUUUCCCCUAACUUGAAAAAUACCCAUUUCUCCAUUUUUAGACUUUGAGAGCUCGAAAAUAGGUGAUUUCAAGUGGGUUUUCGCAAGGAAUUCAUUGGAUUGUGGUGAUUUGGAGCGUGCUCGGAAGGG